UUGCUCUUGUUCUAAGAACUUCUCGUACUAACUGUAGGAGUAAGGAGGCAAGUUGGCUACUGUAUCCUCUUCCUAUCAGUCCGCUUACCAAAAACUCCAUGGGCAGAGGCAGGCCAUGGAGGGAAGGGAAGAUGGGCCAAUUAUUUGCGCCAAUCAUAUGCAACAUCGAAACGGCGGACACAGUGCGCAAAAUCUAUGUGGGAAUAGUAGUAAACCUAAUAAUCAGCGAAAGAACAUGCUUCAAGGAAAACCCUGAGGGAGAAGAGGAAACUUAUGUUCAGUUAAAGGACAUGCUUCAAGGAACUAACUACCUAGGAUGCCUGGGGUAGUGAUGACGGUGAAAGCCAAGGGGAAGCACAGAUUUAUGGCGUAUCAUCUCUGAACAUGCAGAGGUGUAUGUCUGUAUGCCAGAGGACCGAGAGGAGGGUGUGGGAACUGGAAAAGCAGCUCGGGUGAAGAUGCUUGGAUUCUGCAUUUCGGAGAGAGCAGCGUGGCGGAGGUGCUUGGAUUUCUGCGUUUCUCCCAGCCUAGCUCUUGUUUUCUUCUCUCGCUCUCCUUCAGCACGGCGGCGUGGGCUUGCCACUGGAUUCUGGGACAAGCAUCCAGAGCCGUACCACGCGCAGUCUGGCGGCCUCUUGCAGCCGCAGAGAGCAAUUCUCGGAAGCUCGGGAUCUGCGGCGCGCUGGUCAUAUUGCUUGUGUGCUUCUUCCUUGAGGAAGAUGCACUGACUGGCCGUGGACAUGGGCAGUGCUCAGCGGUGGUUGCUUUCAGUACCAGAGCGGCUACCACCACCGGGAGAGGCCAAUGCUGGCGGUCACGAGACGCCAACUGGGUCAAGAUUUUGGUCCAGUCUGAAAAAUAGCCAAGUGGGUACUGUUUGUCCAAGGGGGGUCUGCAUUCCACCCUGUCGUGCUGAGGGGGACUUGUUGUUUUCAGCCCCACGGAUCACAAGGAUAUGGCGUACUGCACUCCCGACUAGACGACAUUCACAAAAUCCAUAUUUUGCCAUCACAAGCUUGUAGAUAAUAUGUGGAGGGAUUUGAAGAAAGGCCAAUUGCAGUGACUUGGGCUAAAUUAAGCAACUGGCCAGCAACUGAGAGCCGAUGAGAAGGAAGAUGGACAAGGGAAAUUUCUAUUUGGUCGAAGGCGCCCAUUGCCCCGGCUAUAGGUUUUAGAUGGGCCAGCCUAUGAAAGCUUCUCACACAGUCACGGUUUUGGUAUGCUUCCAUUCUGAUUUUCUCCAUUUUUUGUGUUUUAUUGCCAUUUUCUUUACUUUCUUACCUUUUCCAAUUGAUGAAUAAAGUUCUAUUUUUUGUGAAAACUUCCAAACUUCAUGAUUUUUUAGAUUUGUGAGUUUUUUUUCAAAUUCAUGAACAUUUAUUGAUCGUUUUUAAAUUUUGCAAAGUUUUUUUUUCAAAUUUGUGGAAUUUGUUUCAAACCCACAUUUUUUUAAAAUCAUGAUUUUUAAAAAUUGAUGAUCAUUUUUUAAAUCAUGUUUUUAACUAUAAGAAAAUGGUAGCUGUUGUUCUGCACCAGUGAGCCAGAAAAAAACAACCUAGAGACACAAAAUUGCUUUGCAAGAGCCACAGUUGUGCCUCUUCGAAAAAGGAAAAAGAAAGUCAAAAAAGUGCUUUCUACUCGGUUUUCUUCAUCUGGUUUUUUUGUGAAAAAAGUUCAUGGAAAUCUAUCAACAUGGGUUCUAGUUUCGAAGAUCUUGACGUGAGGAAUUCAAAGAUAAAAAUGGUUUGAAAUUUGACACACGGUUUAAGAGAUAAAAUAUUUUGAAUAAACGAGUCUACGAAAAAAGAAAACUCUUAGGUUGCGACAAGUGGGCACCUCUUGCGGCGGCGAAAUCACUAGUUAAACGAUACUUCACAUCUCCACCUCUCUCACCACUACAUCUCAUCUGCAGCCGGGUGGUUUGGCUCUCCACCCCAGUUCAUACUCGGUGACGGUGAGCAUGGGAACAUAUUGAUGAGUGGGCUCUUUGGUCAUCUUUUUUUUACGAAAAACAUCCGAUCUAUUCGUCUUCAAUCAUGACAGUAUAACGAACACCAGAAAUAAUAAAAAUUGCAUCCAGAUUCAUAGACCACCUAGCGACGACUACAAGCAUUGAAGCGAGCCGAAGGCGCGCCGCCGUCAUCGCCCAUUCAUCACCGGAGUUGGGCAAAACUUGUUGUAGUAGACAGUCGGUUGGUCAUCUUAACGCCUUGCUAGUUAACGAUCAUCACCCCAUGCCUGCUCUUUGCAACGUCUGUCAUUUGCCACAUCAAUACCUGGGUCAAGGGGCAUUUAGUGUUCUUUUGUCAAAGAUAACAUUGCAUUUGGUGCAUCUUGCUAAUAAAACGUAAAGUGGUGGUUUUUUGUUAUUGAUGUCACAAUUGUGAUGGUUUUGUGGAUUUCACUCUUCACAAGGGGCAUUCCUUAACUAGUGAUAUCGCUAUAUAUAACUUUCUAAAUUUUGUUUACAUUUUGCGAAGACUCUUGCAGGCACCUCUGACCUAUGAUCGUUUGUAGUGUUGACCCAAAUGUUUAGAAAUGGUUUUUUGGAAUAUUUUUUAAAGUUUCAUAGAACUUAUUGGCAUUAUUAAUAGAUGACCAAAAAAAUCUAACAUAUAGA